rnacentral:rRNA from 1 species
AGAAUCAACGCUGGCGGCGUGCCUAACACAUGCAAGUCGAACGAGAAAGGGGAGCAAUCCCUGAGUAAAGUGGCGCACGGGUGAGUAACACGUGACUAACCUACCCUGGAGUGGGGGAUAACUGAGGGAACCUUAGCUAAUACCGCAUAAUACCCACGGGUCAAAGGAGCAAUUCGGCUCCAGGAGGGGUCGCGGCCGAUUAGUUAGUUGGCGGGGUAAUGGCCCACCAAGACGAUGAUCGGUA